UUAUUCCGCUUUCUCUUCAAAACGUCUUUCGCCUUUUACUAAAGACUUCCGUGGAGAGGAACACGGACGAGUUAAAUCUAUUUUUGGCAGGCUUUGCGGUUUGGCAGAGC